rnacentral:rRNA from 1 species
UGCGUAGGCGGCUUUUUAAGUUUGGUGUGAAAUCUCCCGGCUCAACUGGGAGGGUGCGCCGAAUACUGAGAGGCUAGAGUGUGGGAGAGGAAAGUGGAAUUCCUGGUGUAGCGGUGAAAUGCGUAGAUAUCAGGAGGAACACCGGUGGUGUAAACGGCUUUCUGGACCAUAACUGACACUGAGGCACGAAAGCGUGGGUAGCAAACAGGAUUAGAUACCCUGGUAGUCCACGCCCUAAACGAUGCAUAUUUGGUGUGGGCCAUUCAUUUGGUCUGUGCCGGAGCUAACGCGUUAAAUAUGCCGCCGUGGGGAGUACAGUCGCAAGGCUAGAA